UCUGGAGCAGUACUCACUGCUGCUCUAUCUGGUUCCUCUGGUCUGUACCUAUACAGAUAAACGCACAUGAGGGACCAAACUAGCUUAUGACUAACUCUAUUUAAACUCCCCAAGAAUCCCCUAAAACUCUCUCUAAUAGUCAUGCAAAACAAGCAAAGGAAAGCUGGACAGAACACUUUCGGCGGCAGGUUCGGCGGCCGAAUGUCCUCUCCAGAGACGAAACUCAAGCACCUUCGGCGGCCGAAUCCCCCACACGGAGCCGAACAUGCAAAACUCGCGGGGGGCAAACUGUGGCAGCCUAAGCCACCAUGCAAGAGGUUCGGCGGCCGAAUGCACCUUCGGCUGCCGAACCUGAGUUCAUCCAGAACUCAGCUUCAACGGCAAACCAUCUCCUCCUUCCCCUCAACCACUCAAACCAUAUAUACUCCAACUCCUCAACACACAUAUACAUAAGUAUAUGAUCACAGGGGUCCAAAACUAUCUAAUAACCCCAAACAACAAAUCAAACAUGUAUACAUACAUAAAUCAUCAAAACUAUCAUUUAUAACCUAAGCAUGCAUCUCCUUCCAUAACUCCCAUAAAACCUUCAGAAAACAUAAAAACAUGUUCAAGAGCAUCACUUACCUCCUGUUAUAAGAAGAUAAACACUCUGAUCAAAGGAAACGAACCACCUCUCUUCACACUCUCAAACUCUCAAAAACUUAGUUUUUGUUUUCUUCAACACUUUCAAACUCUCUUGCACACUAGCUAACUCUUGCAUGAGCUGCUCAAACUCAGCAAAUAAACCAGGGGAGACGUGGCCAACGUCUGGACAUGAGCUGGUGAUAACACCUGUCCAAAAUGCUGACU
rnacentral:lncRNA from 1 species